rnacentral:rRNA from 1 species
CUGGUGUAGCGGUAAAAUGCCAAGAUAUCCGGAGGAACACCGGUGGCGAAGGCGGGUCUCUGGGCAGUAACUGACGCUGAGGAGCGAAAGCAUGGGUAGCGAACAGGAUUAGAUACCCUGGUAGUCCAUGCCGUAAACGGUGGGCGCUAGGUGUAGGGGUCUUCCACGACUUCUGUGCCGUAGCUAACGCAUUAAGCGCCCCGCCUGGGGAGUACGGCCGCAAGGCUAAAACUCAAAGGAAUUGACGGGGGCCCGCACAAGCGGCGGAGCAUGUGGAUUAAUUCGAUGCAACGCGAAGAACCUUACCUGGGCUUGACAUAUACGGGACCGGGCCAGAGAUGGUCCUUCCCUUGUGGCUCGUAUACAGGUGGUGCAUGGUUGUCGUCAGCUCGUGUCGUGAGAUGUUGGGUUAAGUCCCGCAACGAGCGCAACCCUUGUCUUAUGUUGCCAGCACGUAAUGGUGGGGACUCGUGAGAAACUGCCGGGGUCAACUCGGAGGAAGGUGGGGAUGACGUCAAAUCAUCAUGCCCCUUAUGUCCAGGGCUUUCACACAUGCUACAAUGGUCGGUACAGUGGGUUUGCGAUGCCGUGAGGUGGAGCUAAAUCCCCUGAAAGCCGGUCUCAGUUCGGAUCGGGGUCUGCAACUCGACCCCGUGAAGUCGGAGUCCGCUAGUAAUCGCAGAUCAGCAACGCUUGCGGUGAAUACGUUUCCCGGGCCUUUGUAA